CCGGGUGUGGCGCAGUUUGGCAGCGCGUCUGUCUGGGGGACUUUUAUGUUACAGGUUCAAGUCCUGUCACUCGGA
rnacentral:tRNA from 2 species